UGCCUCAUACAGGGGGAUAACAGUUAGAAAUGACUGCUAAUACCGCAUAAGCGCACGGUCUCGCAUGGGACAGUGUGAAAAACUCCGGUGGUAUGAGAUGGACCCGCGUCUGAUUAGCUAGUUGGUGGGGUAAGGGCUCACCAAGGCGACGAUCAGUAGCCGGCCUGAGAGGGUGAACGGCCACAUUGGGACUGAGACACGGCCCAAACUCCUACGGGAGGCAGCAGUGGGGAAUAUUGCACAAUGGGGGAAACCCUGAUGCAGCGACGCCGCGUGAAGGAAGAAGUAUUUCGGUAUGUAAACUUCUAUCAGCAGGGAAGAAAAUGACGGUACCUGACUAAGAAGCCCCGGCUAACUACGUGCCAGCAGCCGCGGUAAUACGUAGGGGGCAAGCGUUAUCCGGAUUUACUGGGUGUAAAGGGAGCGUAGGCGGUUCAGCAAGUCAGAAGUGAAAGCCCGGGGCUCAACUCCGGGACUGCUUUUGAAACUGUUGAACUAGAUUGCAGGAGAGGUAAGUGGAAUUCCUAGUGUAGCGGUGAAAUGCGUAGAUAUUAGGAGGAACACCAGUGGCGAAGGCGGCUUACUGGACUGUAAAUGACGCUGAGGCUCGAAAGCGUGGGGAGCCCUUAAGGUUAGAUACCCUGGUAGUCCACGCCGUAA
rnacentral:rRNA from 1 species